GAUGAACGCUGGCGGCGUGCCUAAUACAUGCAAGUCGAACGAGGUGCUUUUGUAGCAAUACGAGAGUAUCCUAGUGGCGAACGGGUGAGUAACGCGUUGGUGACCUACCCCAAAGUGUGGGAUAACAGUCCGAAAGGAUUGCUAAUACCGCAUGUGGUCUUCGGAUUUAGAAACUGAUGACUAAAGGAGCAAUUCGCUUUGGGAGGGACCUGCGUCCCAUCAGCUAGUUGGUGAGGUAAUGGCUCACCAAGGCUACGACGGGUAGGGGACCUGAGAGGGUGACCCCCCACAAUGGAACUGAAACACGGUCCAUACACCUACGGGUGGCAGCAGUAGGGAAUAUUGCACAAUGGGCGAAAGCCUGAUGCAGCAACGCCGCGUGUGCGAUGAAGGCCUUCGGGUCGUAAAGCACUUUCUGGGAGAUGAGCAAGGACAGUAUCUCAGGAAUAAGUACUCGGCUAACUACGUGCCAGCAGCCGCGUAAU
rnacentral:rRNA from 1 species